CUCGUAAGAAUCUGUAUCUUGUUAAGUGUACAAUAGAUUUUACAUUGACCUCAUUGUGAAACAAAUACAUUAUUUGAGGGAGAUUUAUUUUUAUUCACUUGUAGGGAUGAAUAUGAGUGAAAUUCACUAAAACUACUGAGCACAACCCCUUUAUUUGUUUCUCCCCUUGUUUGACCUGAGAUAUUUUAAGCCAAAAGUUAAGUGACUAGCUGAUUUUAAGAUGGAGUGAUUUACUCUUGGCUUGGUCAUUAAAUGCUGUUUUAGUUUUAUUUUUUAUGCUUUUAAGUGGAGAGUAUUGGUAGUUGUAGCAUGCAUCAAAAUGGAUUUUCUCCAGUUGGCAUUGCUCUUAUGAGUCAUGGCAUUCAUCGACUGCAGUUUAUCAUUGUAACUUUGGAUAUUUGAGUGUUAUACUAUGACAAACAUUUAACUCUCUUGAGCCCGAAUCAUCGACACAUGAUCAAUGUGAAUUUCUUUAGAAGUGCCGAUUUUCCCUCAUGGCUAUAGUUGAACAUUUUAUUUUGGGGCUUUUUUCCCUUUCUCAGGAUUUGGUUCCACCGGCCAUUUAG
rnacentral:misc_RNA from 1 species